rnacentral:misc_RNA from 1 species
ACAUGCUUGUAUGUACACACACAUGGGAGAAGCCGCACUGCAGGGAGGUGUGCAACGAAAUGUGAAUUGAAUUUUGUUGAUUGCACGUGUUUGCGUCUUGAGAAAUUUUAAAUACAUUUACCAUUAAUUUGCCGAUUUUUCGAGUCUCAGCAUUGCUGCAUUAAUGGACAAAAUUUGAUUUUACCUCUUCGACUAUAUUGUUUAUUCAAAUAUUUAAUAAUGGCAGAUAUUCCGACAAACGUGGGUGUCACGCGAAAAAUGUCAUUCGGCAUUAACGGUAAGCUCAACGGCGUGGAGUGCAAGACUCCCUUUCUGAUCGGAGUUUCCGGUGGCACCGCAAGUGGAAAGUCCACGGUGUGCAAGCGUAUAAUGGAAAAACUGGGGCAAGUUGAUAUGGACCAUCAGCAGCGUCGAGUAGUUUGCAUAUCCCAGGACAGCUUCUAUCGUGAUCUAACAGCUGCAGAAAAAAUAAGGGCUGAGAAAGGACAGUACAAUUUUGAUCAUCCCGAUGCAUUCGAUAAUGAUCUGAUCUUGCAAACACUACAGGACAUACUUGCUGGCGUCAAGUGUGAAAUACCAGCCUAUGACUACAGAACAAACAGUUUGAUGAAAGACCAAGUUACCACGAUAUAUCCUGCGGAUGUGGUGCUGUUUGAAGGAAUACUGGUAUUCUAUUUUCCCAAAAUCCGGGACUUGUUUCACAUGAAACUAUUUGUGGAUACGGAUUCAGAUACUAGACUUGCGAGACGAGUACCGAGAGACAUAAAUGAACGUGGGAGAGAUUUGGAUUAUGUCCUGAAUCAAUAUAUGAAUUUCGUGAAACCAGCUUUUGAGGAGUUCUGCCUACCAACGAAAAAGUUUGCGGAUGUUAUAAUACCGAGAGGAGCUGAUAAUACAGUGGCAAUAGACCUAAUAGUGCACCACAUCUGGGAUAUUUUGCGUUUGAAAAACGCCGAAAGCUCCGGGCAGCAUCCAUUCCUCCAGCAUAGACGUACUUCGGCCUCAUCCGACACGCUCAGCAGAUGACUUAAGCAUGAUAAGCUCACUCUAUCAAGCACUGCAUUUUUUCUGCAUCACGCUCCUAUUGGCGAUAGAUCUGAUAGUGCAGCACAUACGAGACUUCUUAAGCAACCGAGGUAGGGAAAUGGUGGA